rnacentral:rRNA from 1 species
GAUGAACGCUGGCGGCGUGCCUAAUACAUGCAAGUCGAGCGGUAAGGCCACUUCGGUGGUACACGAGCGGCGGACGGCAGAGUAACGCGUAGGAAUCUACCCCGAAGUGAGGGAUAAGCACCAGAAAUGGUGUCUAAUACCACAUGUGGUCUUCGGACUAAAGCUUUAUGUGCUUUGGGAAGAGCCUGCGUAUGAUUAGCUUGUUGGUAAGGUAAUGGCUUACCAAGGCGACGAUCAUUAGCUGGUCUGAGAGGAUGAUCAGCCUGACUGGGACUGA